UAAAUAAUUAUGAUAUAAAUUAUAUUUAUUUUAAAUAUUAAUAUAAAAUUAAUUUUAAUUACCCAUUAAUAAAUAAUUUCCAUGUGAUUUUAACUAUAAAAUAAAGAAUUAAACCAGAAUCAAAUAUUAAUUAAAUGUAUAACAAAUAGAAUAAAUCAAUAAGAAAAAAAAUAAAUAAUAAUAUGAAUUAUAAUAAAAAGAAAAUACCUACUCACUAAUCCUACUUAUUUUAACACAUUAUUAUAUUACACCUUCCCCCAUCCUGAUUCUAUAUAGUAUAUUAAUCAAUAAGUUCAUUGAAAAAGUCAAUAUAAUUAAUGCAAUAAAUAAAUGUGUAUCUUUAACUUCAAAAUAUCUAAUUAAAUCUCUCAUAAACCCCCUAGCUCCAGGUUCAUGCCCAUACGUUAUAUCGUGGCUUUAAAUGAAAAAGAUAAAUUAAAGAUACUCAGGAAGAAUUCCAAUAUCAGCUGCUUCACUUUCUCUAAGGGAAAGAGCAGCUGCAUAUUGAAAUUCUUCCUGAUGUUGAAUAAACUUUAAUUUUUAAACUAAAAUUACUAUAAAUUAAAUAUUUUCCACAAAAAAAGAUAAUAGUGAUGAGUUAAAUUAUACUAUUUAUAAUUAAUAUAAAUACGUAUCUUUACCACUAACCAAUUAUAAUGACUUAUAAUUAAAGUACUACUCCUAUAGUUGAUAACUUCUUAUACUUUUGAUCUUCAUUUUUCUUAAAUAAAUGUAAUCGUUUAUCAAUUAUAAUUAAAAUGGUAGAGUAUUAAUAAAGUAUAUGAGAGGAAUACAUAUAUUUAUAUAUAUUAUAUAGUCAUAUAUAUGUAUAUAUAUAUAUAUGUAUAUAUAUAGAUGUCACAUUUUAAUUUUUUUUCACUCCUAUAGGUAAUUUAGCUUAUUUUUAAUCAUAAGCUUUAAUUUUUUCCUAAAAUUUCUUAAUAAUAUAUCUCCUAUUAAAUUAAUUUUUAUACACUUUUAAUAAUCUUUAAUAAUUCUAAAUAUAGUGCCUGAAAAUAAAAGGGUAGCUUUGAUAGAGCUAAUAAUGUGUUUCGCACCUAUAUUA
rnacentral:tRNA from 1 species